GGCUCUCUCACUCUGGCUCCCUCCUGAUUGAGGUUCAUUCCUUUCACCUGCUCUCACCUGCACACCAGCUCUCCAUCUCCUCAUCAACUCAGCAGUAUAUAUACCCCGGCUCUCCAUCCACUCAUCAACUCAGCAGUAUAUAUACCCCGGCUCUCCAUCCACUCAUCAACUCAGCAGUACAUAUACCCCGGCUCUCCAUCCACUCAUCAACUCAGCAGUACAUAUACCCCGGCUCUCCAUCCACUCAUCACCAGAUCGUUGUAUCGACUACUGCGGAUCACCGUUCACCCACCUGCCUUCCUGCUCACCCACCUGCCUCCACCUGCUCUCUGGACUCAAAACCACUCAGCCACACUCACACCCCUCCUCUGGUCUGGUCAGCCUUCGUCCCCUUCACUCUGCUAACCUCCAGAAUCUUCAACCCAUCUUCAUCUCCAUUUGCCACAAUAAACCUCAUUACCAAUCAA